UACCGAGGUCCCAAGCGUUGUUCGGAUUCACUGGGCGUAAAGGGUGCGUAGGUGGUGAGGUAAGUCGGAUGUGAAAUCUCCGGGCUCAACCCGGAAAUGGCAUUGGAAACUACCUUGCUGGAGGAUUUGAGGGGGGAUUGGAAUACUUGGUGUAGCAGUGAAAUGCGUAGAUAUCAAGUGGAACACCAGUGGCGAAGGCGAAUCCCUGGAAAAUACCUGACACUGAGGCACGAAAGCUAGGGGAGCAAACAGG
rnacentral:rRNA from 1 species